rnacentral:rRNA from 1 species
GUGGGGAAUUUUGGACAAUGGGCGCAAGCCUGAUCCAGCCAUGCCGCGUGAGUGAAGAAGGCCUUCGGGUUGUAAAGCUCUUUCGGCCGGGAAGAAAUCGGCGACUCUAACAUAGUCGCUGGAUGACGGUACCGGACUAAGAAGCACCGGCUAACUACGUGCCAGCAGCCGCGGUAAUACGUAGGGUGCGAGCGUUAAUCGGAAUUACUGGGCGUAAAGCGUGCGCAGGCGGUUUUGUAAGACAGAUGUGAAAUCCCCGGGCUUAACCUGGGAACUGCGUUUGUGACUGCAAGGCUAGAGUACGGCAGAGGGGGGUGGAAUUCCUGGUGUAGCAGUGAAAUGCGUAGAUAUCAGGAGGAACACCGAUGGCGAAGGCAGCCCCCUGGGCCUGUACUGACGCUCAUGCACGAAAGCGUGGGGAGCAAACAGGAUUAGAUACCCGGGUAGUCC